GGUAGGACGUGUCGGCUGC
rnacentral:sRNA from 1 species